CUUCCUCGCUUGCUUCUUCUGAAUAGAAAACUCAUCUUGACUUAGAUUUUCAAAGCGUGAUCUAUCUUGGUUCAAUCAAAGCCAGGCACAAAAAUUAUUGCAAUGAAAUGUUCAAGAACGCGCGUUAUUGCCACUGUUCCAAGCGCCAAAAUGAUUUGACGAAAUGUUCAAACGAAUGAAGAUGUUUCUACACUGGACAUGGGAAUGAUUUUACCAGCUUUCGUAUGGCUGUUGCUUUAGCCAAGGCCGGGUUCAAUUUUUUGCUGUUGGGCUCUGCCGUG